CCGAGCUGUCUCUCACCAGGAACGAGCCGUCCGGCUUCCCCUUCAGCUUCAUCUCCGCGUCCUCCCAGUUCAUGGGACCCCAAUACCAGCCGCACUGCGGGGAGAGAGGGGGCAACACAGGCACGUCAGCAGAUUCUUUCUUACCUUCUCAAGCUCCCUCAGGCUGGCUGCGAAGCUGCAGGAGUCGGGUCUGCUCAGCGGGCAGUGCAGCGCCUGGGCAGGGGGGGGCUGUGUGACAGGGGGCUGGGCGUCUCCCUGCAAGGAGGAAGAAGAGGAGGAGGAGGGGCGAGGGAGCGCCCGCAGGAACGUGUCUAAAAGAAGCAAAGAAAAAAAACACAGCCCUAGGUUCUGGCCUCAUGACCGGAGGGGAAAAGCCUACAGCGGCCACAAGUAAGGGAAGGGAAUAAUGCUGUGAAAUUACUGCUGGUCAUCUCUCCAGGACCCCCUUGUAAAUUAGACCUCAGUCUCAAUGGGUGUAUUCCUAGUUAAAGAAUGAAUAAAUACAUUAAAUAAAUAAA